rnacentral:rRNA from 1 species
GACAGAGGGUGCAAACGUUGCUCGGAAUCACUGGGCGUAAAGGGCGUGUAGGCGGGAAGGCAAGUCAGAUGUGAAAUCCCUGGGCUCAACCCAGGAACUGCAUUUGAAACUCCCUUUCUUGAGUGUCGGAGAGGAAAGCGGAAUUCCUGGUGUAGAGGUGAAAUUCGUAGAUAUCAGGAGGAACACCGGUGGCGAAGGCGGCUUUCUGGACGACAACUGACGCUGAGGAGCGAAAGCCAGGGGAGCAAACGGG